GACGGAGGGUGCAAACGUUGCUCGGAAUCAUUGGGCGUAAAGCGCACGUAGGCGGUCCCUUAAGUCGGGUGUGAAAGCCCUCGGCUUAACCGAGGAAGUGCAUUCGAAACUGAGGGACUUGAAUACUGGAGAGGAUGGCGGAAUUCCCGGUGUAGAGGUGAAAUUCGUAGAUAUCGGGAGGAACACCAGCGGCGAAGGCGGCCAUCUGGACAGAUAUUGACGCUGAGGUGCGAAAGCGUGGGGAGCAAACAGG
rnacentral:rRNA from 1 species